UAUACCCAAUAUUCAGCUCGUAAUAUAAAGAGCGUGGACGGCGCCCAUCACAGUUGUUACAACAUUCAUUAUGUGGCUGAGACUACUGUUUGCUCCUGCGCAGCUGUGAUAGUUACGUCGAUCACGGCUUAUCGUAAUUAUAAUGGAAAUUUCAGUGAGUAAAGUAAAGACUUCUUUAACAAUUGCGAUGCCAUUGGAGGGGAAUGUAUUCUCGGAUAUCAAUGCCUCCCAGAGUUCCAAAUUUUUGAUGCCCGCUGUGUGGGUGUCAAUUGGAUAUGUUGCAAUACCACUGCUAUGCACUGGAAAUAACAGAUAAAAUAACAAUUUUAGUUUUAUGUGAUCACGUUGAAUUAAAUUAUAAAAUGAAUUAUUAUUUCAUUUUAUAUUUUAAUUCCACGUGUCAUGUUGAAGCUGCAGUUUAGCCAUCGAAAUAAUUUAAAUGUAGGAUAUAAAGUGAAUUCUUUAUUUUCAUUUUAAAUUGUUUUAUUUGUUUGGCUAUUGAUGAAUAAUAAUUAUUCAAUAGUUUCUAUUAUUUGUUAACAUGUUAUUGUAAUAAACUUGAAAAUUAAAUUAAAUAUUGACCACGUCUUCCAUAAGUUUCAUUAAAUCUUAAAACUGCAUCAUAGUUCAUCUAGAUAUUUUGCGAUAAUGUUUUUUACAAAAACGAUUUAUUGAAUUUUAUGUCAUAAGAUGAAUUUUAAAAAUUGCUUUGUAAAAGGCAAGAGGCAACUCCCUCAAUAGUAAAAUAGGGCAAAAGUGAAAUCCAACUGCUCACCUCGUUUUAAUGUUUUAUGUCAUAAUUUUUUGCUUUCGAACAUUUGUACUUUUGAAUUCGUGGUACAUUCAUAGCAUUGUUUUUAAACUUCGUUUUUAUUUUCAAGAAUGUUAGUACUUUGUGAAAUUCUCUUCAUAUGCGCUAUCCCUUGCUUGAAAUUUAAAUGUUUUUUUCUUUAGUGUUUUGGAAAACUGCAUGUUGUCAAAAUAUUCGAAAAUUUGCAUUGAUUUUACUUUAACUGAAAUAGGAUAAUUAUCAUAUUUAUUUCAUCAUUGUAUUGUAUUCCCAAUGCAGCUUUAUGUAUGUAAAUUAAUAAUAUGGUGCAAAAUUUUAACGGAAAUGUCGCAACCAGAAAUGUAGUUUUAGUUUGUACUCGGUCGCAUUGUGACCAGAAUUAUGAUUGGCCAUUAAAACUCUAACGUGUGCACAUUUUUACCGGGGGCCAACAGGACCGCUAUGUGUUAAACUGUCGCCACGCCGCCGCCGCCGUCGCUUUUAUAGUGUUAAACUUUGAUAUACGUUGAAACAAAGUAAUCCACACCUAGUGUAUUAUUUAAAAAAUCAAUAUUUUUUGUGUGUCUUCGAAUAAGUUUGAUAUAACAGCGGACGUGUUAAGUAAAAUUUUCAACUUUCUGCUACACACCAAUAUCUUUUCAUGUGAAGGAGUGAUUUUAGGUCAAAUCAGAGGCAGACAGCAGCCGAGAAGUACAUUAGCCGGAAUAAAUGUUAGGAUACAUAGGUAUUUGUUACUGUUGAAUGGGCAAGUACUACUUAACGGUUUGUAUGAAAUCCAGAAUACGUUUUAUUUUGAACUUCCGGGGUGGGCAUUACUAUAAUUAUACUAUAUCUGCAUAACACUAUAAAUGCGUUACCUAUUUGUUUGUUCAUCGGUGGUCAGAAUUAUAACAAAACGUCGCCGCGCGCUGGCGUGAAAUGGUCGUGUUAAAUGCAAAUUAAAAUGCUUUCGAAACUGCAGCGACGUGGACAGUGCCAUUGGUGUUUCCGCAUUUAAUAAAAACUUGUGAUUUUUUUCAUUGUGAAUAAAUAAUAUUUACAAAAAGUACUAGCAUUUUUAGAAGCUUGAUGAUUUAUCCAUGCUUUAACUUCGUGACUAUGGAUACUUGUAAUUUUUCAUACAAAUCUACGCCCAGAACAGAGUACAGACAUAAGAAGGGUAGAGCAGAUUUAGCAUCAGAUCACAUUGCCAUAGUAUACAGCUGAUGAUGUGACGCCCGGCUUUCUAAAGGUCGUAGCCCUUACCGUUCCUCUAGCAGGUAAUUAUUGGAAUGACGGCUUGGUGAGCAAUGCCUACGGAAUUGACUUCGUAAUAAGGCCGCAUAACAUUGUUACCAGAGUUGCAUACAUUAUCACCUCUACGUCUUUGAUAGAGUGGGAGUAGGAGCCAGGAUCUGGAGAAAUAAGGAGUUCCAGAAAAAAAAGGAAAUACCUAUCUAGUAUAGCAGAAUGGGACCAUAAGAUCCAUAUUUGUCAAUUGACGUCAUUGGAGAAAAGGCCGCGGUGAAGUUGGUUGCGCCUCUUCUUCUCCACCAGUGCUUUGAAAGUGUAAAUUUUGUAUGUGUGUGUUAUGUAAAAAGUUAAUUUAAGGUGAGAUAUUAUUGUUGGAUAAAAAGUAAUUUUAUUUCACAAAGUAAUAAGGACAAGGUAGGGUACAAUUAUAUGUGUAUCAUCCUAAGUUGAAUCAAUAAUUUUGAAUUUUGAGAGGAGCUGUGUACCAACGUUCUGGACCAGAAGAUAUUUACGUUGCUUGUACAUCCUAGCUUUACGUUGUCUUGCACAAAUCAUGACACAUUUUUGACUGACAAGAAAGCUAAGAUGUAAAAACUACUUUACUUUGUACUUUGGUAAAUUUUGUAUGUCUGUCCGUGGUAUCGUAGCAGCCACGGCUGAACCGAUGUUGAUCUAUUGUUUAUGAGUUUAUCGCGAACAGACAGACGCGACAGAGGCCUUUGUUUUCUAAUAUGUAAGGAUACUAGGGCCUUUUUUGUAAAAUCAAAAGAAAACAAAUCUUUCGUCUAACAAAAAUUAACAAUGAAUCACAGAAUGUUUAAUUAUAUUUCAUUAAAUAUUAUUUAAUAUAAUUCCGAAAACGCUUAAAUGUAAAAAGCAAUUAUUGCUUUUCGCUCGCAACAUUUAAUCGACAUCACUUAGCUCCAAAUUUAAUACAACACGUUUUUUCCACACGAAAUUCGCGGAAAAUUAAUUAUGUCUAAAAUUUCUAGUUUAAGUGUAGACCACGGGGUUUUGCAAAUAACAUUAAGAAAAAAGGGAAUCUCGUUUGAUAAAACAGGCCGAUCUAUCAUAACGGUAUAUUAAUUACUGUGAACCCAUAGACUUCUUCUAGUUUAAAUUACUUAGACUAGUUCUACUAAUAAAAUAUUAUAUAGUAGUUAAUACUACUAAUCUAUAAGAGAAUAUCAAUAUUAAUUAUCCUUAUCUAUUUGAAAGUAUGGCUAAAAAGACUGAUGAAUUUUAAAUUUCAGCGACCGGAGCCGUCCAUCAGUGUUUGAUGACGUACAUUUAGUUCUGGAUGUUUGUGUCUCACCACUGACAAAACCUUUUUCAUGAGAAUUAAGAGACAAGAGCAAGGUUAUCCUGCCGACCACGUCUUUUAUUGAGCGAGCAAUAGUGUACCUACACUAGUAGCUAUAACUGGACCAGUAUGAUCCCGAGCGGCUGCAGUCACGUCCGUUCUAGAUCCAGGUCUGCUUCUGUUGAAAAAUUCGCGGAUCCCAUUUCGUUUGCUUCGUGUACUCGAGAAAUGAACCCUCCGUGAUUUAUUUUACAAUGACGUUUUGUUCCUUAUAAGUCAUUUAUCUUGCACUUGCUGAGCACGGUGGCUACAACAUGUUUCAUAUUGACAUUUUUGCUACAUACCUCGACCUCGGUGGCGCAGUGGUAAAGUUCUUGUCACUGAACCGAGAGGUCCCGGGUUCGAUCCCCAGUCGGGUUAUAAUAGAAAAUGAUCUUUUUCCGAUUAGCCCGGGCCUUGGAUGUUUAUCUAUAUAUGUAUUUGUUAUAAAAUAUAGUAUCGUUGAGUUAGUAUCCCAUAACACAAGUCUCGAACUUACUUUGGGGCUAGCUCAAUCUGGGUGAUUUGUCCCAAUAUAUUUAUUUAUUUAUACACUUUAUUCAAUUCGAAUACUGCCUUCCACUAAAUGUCACAAGACUCCAGAGGGAGUAUAUUUUGCUAUUUUAAUUGAAGAUGAGAAAUUGUAACAUUGCAGAAAUAAAAUAGCAUUUAUUCAAAGGGUAUAUACAAGGUUAGAAUUUUUUUAAAAAUAUGUACGCUUUAGAUAAAUUAAAUAUAUUUAAAGACCAUUGUGAUAAUUCAUAGACUAUAAUAACAAUGCUGCUGGAUCAUUUUGCACACAAGUUUUCACUGUCAUUUAUACAAUUUAUUUCCAAAGGUUUAUAGACGUCGUGCAAAGCCAUAGAAACUGUCUUUGUUGGUUUUGUGUGUAACCUCUUAUUACUGUUGUGUAUUAAUCAUUUUCUUCUUUUGUCAUUUAACCUUACAACCAAAUAUAUAUUAUCUUGCUCUUCAGAAAAAAAUUUUUUCUCUAGCAGAAUCCAAAUCUGAAAACAACUUAUUUCAAGAGUAAAUUAUAAACGAAAAUGUCGAGUAGCUUUCAUUCCAGGAAUCACUGCCACAAUUUAUACAGCUGUAUUUUUGAAAUGAGUUACGGAAUUCAGUGUUUCCACCUUUGAUCUCGGUCUUGGCUCUGGUAACCAAAUUUUUGGUUAAUUUUCGCGACACAACCACAAUUUAAUUGGGUUUUCGCGCGAAACAGAUUUACAUUCCUUCCACGUCCCGCCGUUAACUUCCAUAGAGCACCGCAAACGUGAAUAAAUUCUAAAUACGGAGACGAAAAUACGUAAAUAUUCCCGGGUAAAUAGCUCCUUGGAAGUGCUCGUUCUGCGAGAGAACGUGAUGCAAGGGAAGGGUUCUUUCACCCAAUAUUGUCCGCCGCGGCGAAUGUAUACGCUACGAACCGUUUUAUAUAUAUUUUUACUAAAAUGUCAUUUUUGACACAAGCUUUUAUUGUCAUCAGAGAGAUGGAAUACGGCGUUAAUACUGCAAACAAUUCCUAAAUGUAUUACAAACGAUAACAAUCUAUUGGCUCCAAACACUAGCCAAUCACGAUAAAACUGCGCAGCCGACCGAAACGAUACGCACUCGUGUAUCGAGCGAACUCAUCGCGAUUCAAUCGAAUCUGAUAUCGAUAUUCGGCUGUUUCGGAAUUUCAUUAUACGUAAACUGCUCAUAUUUAAGUCAGUCGAUUGUUUAAUAUUGUUUGUUGUUGUGAUUGUGAACUAAUUUACAGUUUUCCUAUCUAGAUGUG